rnacentral:lncRNA from 1 species
GCAAGAUGGCGGUGGAGAUCUGGAUGUGGUGUUACAGAUGGUUCAAUGGGCAAUGGAAUGGUUGGUGAAGGGGUGUAGCGUAAGGUAUGUUCUUGAAAGAGAUAGAGUGAUUGUGGGUGGGAUCAGACAUGGCAUGGUGGGCUAUUGUUAGGGAGGUAGAUGAAAAAAGUUGAGGUUCCAGCCCAAAAUCAAUUGGCAAUGAGGGAAGUAGCCCAACUCCUUAUAAGCCCUUGCUAUGUUUAUCAACUUUCCAAUAUGGGAUUUUUUACCUUCACAUUCUCACAC